rnacentral:misc_RNA from 1 species
UCUCCGUUGGUGAACCAGCGGAGGGAUCAUUACAGAGUUUUCUAACUCCCAAACCCAUGUGAACUUACCAUUGUUGCCUCGGCGGAGCCUACCCUGUAGCUACCCUGUAGGGUUGUUACCCUGUAGCGCCCCGCCGGUGGAUUUUCAAACUCUUGUUAUUUUUUGUAAUCUGAGCGUCUUAUUUUAAAUAAGUCCAAACUUUCAACAACGGAUCUCUUGGUUCUGGCAUCACGGAAGAACGCAGC